UGGUGACUCAUAAUAACUUUACGGAUCACAUUAUGUGACAUAUCAUUCAAGUUUCUGACCUAUCAGCUUUAGACGGUAGGGUAUUGGCCUACCGUGGCUAUGACGGGUAACGGGGAAUUAGGGUUCGAUUCCGGAGAGGGAGCCUGAGAAACGGCUACCACAUCUAAGGAAGGCAGCAGGCGCGCAAAUUACCCAAUCCUAAUACAGGGAGGUAGUGACAAGAAAUAACAAUACAGAACCUUACGGUUUUGUAAUUGGAAUGAGUUAAGUAUAAACCCCUUAACAAGUAUCAAUUGGAGGGCAAGUCUGGUGCCAGCAGCCGCGGUAAUUCCAGCUCCAAUAGCGUAUAUUAAAGUUGUUGCAGUUAAAAAGCUCGUAGUUAAUCUUCUGUUAAUUUUUAUAUAUAAUAUCUCGAUAUUUAUAUAAUAUUAACAUAAUUCAUAUUACUUUUUAGUAUAUGAAACUUUACUUUGAGAAAAUUAGAGUGCUUAAAGCAGGCUAUUGCCUUGAAUACUCCAGCAUGGAAUAAUAUUAAGGAUUUUUAUUCUUCUUAUUGGUUCUAGAAUAAAAAUGAUGAUUAAUAGGAACAGUUGGGGGCAUUUGUAUUUAACAGUCAGAGGUGAAAUUCUUAGAUUUGUUAAAGACAAACUACUGCGAAAGCAUUUGCCAAGGAUGUUUUCAUUAAUCAAGAACGAAAGUUAGGGGAUCGGAAGACGAUCAGAUACCGUCGUAGUCUUAACCAUAAACUAUGCCAACUAGAGAUUGGAGGUUGUU
rnacentral:rRNA from 1 species